rnacentral:lncRNA from 1 species
UAUCCUGUUCCCCAGGAAGAGGCACUGCACAGCUGGAAACAGGAGUUUCCAAGGAGUCUACAUCCUAAAGUGAGUUGCCAACCCCUGGAGCCUGACAACCAACCUUCUGAAGUCCAAUGCAAUCAACUACAAUAAGUAUAGUGAAGGCUGAAGGAAGAAAACAGAGGAAGAAGCCAUGAUAGUGGUAGGUGCUUCCUACCUGGUUGGAAGGACGUCUGCCAGCAUCCAUCGUGCAUUCUCUCAGCUUAGCAAGCCCAGCGGAGGAGGAAGCUGCUUGCUGACAGCAUCUGAAGUUCAGCCGUCGUCUCCUUUUGACCAGGAGACCUAGGAACUACAGACAUCUAAAGUGGGUGGAGGAGUAUGACAGGAUAAGAACCAAACAUGCUCCCGUUUAGAAAGGGAAGAAUGGGAGACACAGGCAUCACUGAUUUCUGAAUUCCAGCUCUGGAUUAAGCAGAACAGGUGAGGCUCCCUACUCUUCAGAGCUCUUGGGGGUCAGGAAUGCUUCUUGAUUAGGUUCA